AAUCCUAAAAAUAGUUACUCCGAAGGCAACACUGGUCGAAAAAGAAGCGCGACGAGGAGUCGAAGGUUCCGGAAGCAGCGAAUCGCUCAUCGAUGAGAAACGAUCGUGAUACCGAAGCGAGUAGCCGGGAGGAAUUCGCAAAAGUUCGCAAAUAGCAAACCACCAAUCGUUCAUCGAGGGAACUGAGUCUUCCAGAUUUAAAGAAAACAGGGAAACUGAUGAACUCGACUCAACGAGUAUCGAUGAAGUACUCGUGGCAAUGUUGACAGCAAUAUUGUGCGAAUUAAAAGGCAACUAUGAAAGUCUUCGUUGGUUCUUCACCACGACUAAACAUCAUAGUGUAUCAUCCUGAUUUAUAAUCGAUCAUACAGCAAUGUUGUGCUAAUCGAAGAACAACGACGAGUGUCUCGAUUCGUUCUUGAGUAAAACCAAACGUCAUAGUGCAUAAUUCUGAUCUAAAAUCGAUCGUUCGACGAUGUUGCGUCGAUUGAAAAGCAACGAUGAAAGUCUUCACUGUUCGUUCUUGGGUACAACCGAACGUUGAUCCAAGAUCGAUGAUUGGAACGGAGAGAUAAACAAUAUAAAAUGAAACGAUGUGUUUGAACGCCAUCGUGAACCAAGAAAUAACUUCUGAAUUCGUCGCAGUUAAGAUGACCUCAAGUGGUUAUAACUAUAGUGUAUUAAGAGUUGUUAUGGGGGUGGGGAAAAGUCCCUCCUUCUACUUGGCCGGCCGCUCUUUGGGGCCGGGUGGAAUAGGUUCGUUGCUUGGGGUGAUCAAGAGAUGGAAGCUCUUGGAGAUGGACGUUUCGGGCUCUGGAGUCUGGUCCAGUCUUCAGGAGUUGGUACGUCUGAUGACCGCCACUUGACGAAAAUUAAUAGAAAAAACGGUUGCGAGGUUAUGUUCGAUGAUGUCAUGGAAGUGAUAUCCUUAGAUGUUCGAUCGAUUCUCGUUAUUCCAAGUGAACGAGGACGUCGGCUAUUUGUAUACAUGCACCGAUGAAACUCGAUUUGAACCACAAUUUAUACAGAAAUCUGAAGGAUAACUUGUGAAAUGGAAUGUUCGUUUUGGUUCUUUGAAUUCAAGUGAUUUUGGUUUUAAACGGUGUGCUCAGUGAUGUCACGUGUGAAGUGUGUUACAAAUCGAAAACGCAGCUUUUCGCACGGUAAAGAAAUUUUCCAACAGAUGCAGACUGCAACCGGCGGACCGAUGAAGAAUAAGACCCUAGCGAGAAUAAUUCGAGGUGGGAAAACCCGAAUGAAACCUCACGUAAG
rnacentral:lncRNA from 1 species